rnacentral:rRNA from 1 species
UGAAUACGAGACGCUAAGGCGUCGAAGUAGUGUAUGUCAUACUUCCAAGAAAAGCUUGCACUGUCAUAGAUAGAAAACGCCUGUACCAUAACCGACACAGGUGGGUAGGUAGAGUAUACUAAGGGGCGCGAGAUAACUCUCUCUAAGGAACUCGGCAAAAUAACUCCGUAACUUCGGGAGAAGGAGUGCCUUAUUCGUAAGGUUGCAAUAACAAGAUCCAAGCAACUGUUUAUCAAAAACACAGGUCUCCGCUAAGUCGUAAGACGAUGUAUGGGGGCUGACGCCUGCCCAGUGCCAGAAGGUUAAAGAAGUUGGUUAGCAAUUGCGAAGCUGAUAACUGAAGCCCUGGUGAACGGCGGCCGUAACAAUAACGGUCCUAAGGUAGCGAAAUUCCUUGUCGGGUAAAUUCCGACCCGCACGAAAGGCGUAAUGAUUUGGAUACUGUCUCGGAGAGGGGCUCGGUGAAAUAGACUUGUCUGUGAAGAUGCGGACUACCUGCACCAGGACAGAAAGACCCUAUGAAGCUUUACUGUAACUUGAAAUUGAAAUUGGACUUUAUUCGCGCAGUAUAGGUGGGAGGCGUUGAUUAUAAUCUUGUGGGAUUAUUGGAGCCAUCAGUGAGAUACCACUCUUGUAAUGUUAGAUUUCUAACUUUGAAUCAUUACCUGGUCAAAGAACAGUUUCAGGCGGGCAGUUUGACUGGGGCGGUCGCCUCCUAAACGGUAACGGAGGCGUACAAAGGUUUCCUCUGAACGGUUAGAAAUCGUAUCUAGAGUGUAAAGGCAUAAGGAAGCUUGACUGUGAGACCUACAAGUCGAGCAGGGACGAAAGUCGGUCUUAGUGAUCUGACGGUACUGAGUGGAAAGGCCGUCACUCAACGGAUAAAAGUUACUCUAGGAUAACAGGCUGAUCUCCCCCAAGAGUUCACAUCGACGGGGAGGUUUGGCACCUCGAUGUCGGCUCAUCGCAUCCUGGGGCGGUAGUACGUCCCAAGGGUUGGGCUGUUCGCCCAUGAAAGCGGUACGCGAGCUGGGUUCAGAACGUCGUGAGACAGUUCGGUCCAUAUCCGGUGUAGGCGUUAGAAUAUUGAGAGGAGCCUUCUUUAGUACGAGAGGACCGAGAAGGACAUACCUCUGGUGUACCAGUUAUCGUGCCAACGGUAAACGCUGGGUAGCUAUGUAUGGAGUGGAUAACCGCUGAAAGCAUCUAAGUGGGAAGCCCACCUCAAGAUAAGUAUUCUCA